AAUGAACGCUGGCGGUAGGCCUAACACAUGCAAGUUGAACGCAUACUUUUACAGUAUCAGUCGCAAACGGGUGAGUAACGCGUGAGAAAUCUACCUUCCACUCUGGGAUAAAAUCCCGGAUUCUUUCUAAACUAGAUGUUCCGAUAAAUAGUCUAGCAUAAACGAUUAAAUGUCGUUGUAAGAUGUGCUCGCGUAGGAUUAGGUAGUGGGUGAGGUAAAAGCUACACCAAGCCGGAGAUUCUGAGCCGGUCUAAGAGGCUGAUCAGCCACACUGGGACUGAGACACGGCCCAGACGCUUUCGAGCGGCAGCAGUGAGGAAUUUUUGACAAUGGGCGAAAGCCUGAGCCAGCCAUAUCGCAUGAGUGAAGAAGUCUCAAGAGGGUGUAAAGCUCUGAUUUGAUUGAAGAUUAUGACAUAAGAUCAAAGAAUAGGCCCGGCUAACUUCGUG
rnacentral:rRNA from 1 species